GACUUAAAGCAUAUCAAAUAAGCGGGAGGAAAAAGAAACCCAACAGGGGAUUGGCCUCAGUAACGGCGAGUGAAGCGGCAACAGCUCAAAUUUGAAAUCUGACUCUCGGGCACGAGUUGCGAAUUUGUAGAGGAUGCUUUUGGUGCGGUGCCUUCCGAGUUCCCUGGAACGGGACGCCAUAGAGGGUGAGAGCCCCGUCUGGUUGGACGCCAAUCCUCUGUAAAGCUCCUUCGACGAGUCGAGUAGUUUGGGAAUGCUGCUCUAAAUGGGAGGUAUAUGUCUUCUAAAGCUAAAUACCGGCCAGAGACCGAUAGCGCACAAGUAGAGUGAUCGAAAGAUGAAAAGAACUUUGAAAAGAGAGUUAAAAAGUACGUGAAAUUGUUGAAAGGGAAGCGCUUGUGACCAGACUUGGGCUUGGUUGAUCAUCCAGGGUUCUCCCUGGUGCACUCUUCCGGCCCAGGCCAGCAUCAGUUCGCCCCGGGGGAAAAAGGCUUCGGGAAUGUGGCUCUCUCCGGGGAGUGUUAUAGCCCGCUGCGUAAUACCCUGUGGCGGACUGAGGUUCGCGCAUUCGCAAGGAUGCUGGCGUAAUGGUCAUCAGUGACCCGUCUUGAAACACGGACCAAGGAGUCGUCUUCGUAUGCGAGUGUUCGGGUGUCAAACCCCUACGCGAAAUGAAAGUGAACGCAGGUGAGAGCUUCGGCGCAUCAUCGACCGAUCCUGAUGUUUUCGGAUGGAUUUGAGUAAGAGCAUACGGGGCCGGACCCGAAAGAAGGUGAACUAUGCCUGUGUAGGGUGAAGCCAGAGGCAUUCUGGUGGAGGCUCGCAGCGGUUCUGACGUGCAAAUCGAUCGUCAAACAUGGGCAUGUAGCGAAAGACUAA
rnacentral:rRNA from 1 species